rnacentral:tRNA from 1 species
CAUUAAGAAGCUAUGCUACAGCACUAGCCUUUUAAGCUAGAGAAAGAGGCGCCACUUCCUCCUUAAUGA